rnacentral:lncRNA from 1 species
UCUGAAGCUGAAGAAUUGAAUCGCGAAGAAUCUGCGAUGAAAUUGAUAUUCCUCAUGAAGAUAUUGAAUUUUUGGAAUUCGGUGUGUCCUGAAGAAAAUCAUUCUGAAGACUUUGAAGCAUGAAGAUUUACUCUUUCUGUGUUGUUUUCUUCACACUUGAGUAAUAGGAACACCGUACUGUUAAAGGGGGUCGAAGUUACACUUAGGAAUGAAUUUCCUCAUGAUGCUCAACCCAAGCCUAAUCCUACCAAAAGCCUCAAGUGAGGAAUACGAGUGACAUGAGGACUCUCACAGUUGAGGGUUCCGACCGUUUCGAUAGCCACGCCAAAUCAUUGGUCUUAUCCACACCAACGGUCAUAUUAUUUAAGAGCAUUAGUGUCAAAUCAUGUCGGGAUGCUCCCAGGCU